rnacentral:rRNA from 1 species
CCUACGGGAGGCAGCAGUGGGGAAUAUUGCACAAUGGGGGGAACCCUGAUGCAGCGACGCCGCGUGAGUGAAGAAGUAUUUCGGUAUGUAAAGCUCUAUCAGCAGGAACGAGACAAGACGGUACCUGACUCAGAAGCCCCGGCUAACUACGUGCCAGCAGCCGCGGUAAUACGUAGGGGGCAAGCGUUGUUCGGAAUCACUGGGUGUAAAGGGAGCGUAGACGGCUGAGCAAGCCUGAAGUGAAAGGCGGGGGCCCAACCCCCGGACUGCUUUGGGAACUGUACGGCUGGAGUGCAGGAGAGGUAAGUGGAAUUCCAAGUGUAGCGGUGAAAUGCGUAGAUAUUAGGAGGAACACCAGUGGCGAAGGCGGCUUACUGGACUGUAACUGACGUUGAGGUUCGAAAGCGUGGGGAGCAAACAGGAUUAGAUACCCUUGUAGUC